GAUGAAGAACGUAGCGAAAUGCGAUAAUUAAUGUGAAUUGCAGAAUUCCGUGAAUCAUCGAGUCUUUGAACGCACAUUGCGCCUCAUGGCAUUCCGUGAGGCAUGCCCAUCUCAGCGUUAGAAAAUAUUCUCAAAUUUUAGUUUUGUGCUAAAAUUUGGAUCAUGUCAAGGAAGCUAUUACUAUUAUUGUGAUCGCUCUUUGGAAAUUGAUAGGUCUUUGAGUUGCUACUCAUAGAACGUGAUGAAUCUUUCUUCGUUCUAUUGUAAUUCACUCUGGUAGUCCUAAAACUUGUAUGCCUGUGGCAUAUCUUGUAAUUUGACCUGAGAUUGGGUAGGGAUACCCGCUGAACUUAAGCAUAUCAAUAAGCGGGGA
rnacentral:misc_RNA from 1 species